ACGGGGAAAGGGGAAAGGAUCUUGCCGGGAGAGCCCGGGACCAGCAUGGCGCUGACCCUUGGACACCGCGGGCCCAGCCGAGGCCUGAAAGCCCAACGCUUCGCUGGGGCGAGGGGCUGGACGCUCGGGCGUGCAGGGAGCUGGUCGCGGCCGCCUUGCGUAUGGAAUCCCGUCUUCCUCCGCUCCCGGAAGAGUGCGAAGCCUGCGCCUGCAGCCAACACAGGUCUUUAUUCUAAAAUUAUGAAGGUCCCCCCAAAGCGGCUGGGGACGCCGCGGAGCCGCCUCCCGACCCGAAUCAUCUGAAAAUCCCCCGAGCUGGGCUCGGGGUUAAGUACUGGUUCCGAACUCCCGGCGCCAGCCUUGGCUGGUUGCGGUCUCGGGCUGCGGCCUCAUUAGUACGCGCCUACGAGGGAAAAAUAAGACUUACCGGCAGGUUAAUAAGCAGCCGGGCCGGGCGCAGGGUGACAGGGGCCUCCGUCGCCCUUUCCUGUACCCCGCCCUCACACCCCCCCCCCCCCCCCCACCUUUUAAGGAACUUUUUGCUUUCACCGAGCAUCGCCUUCUCUUCUGUUCCCGGUUGAAAGCUCCGUCACACGGUUGGUUAUGCCUGGGUUAAUGUUUUAUAAGGGACUGGCUGCCCUCGUCUACUUGCCGAGCUUUCCUGACCUAAUAUCAGGGCUGAGCUCUCCCGUCAGCCUGCCCAGGACACCUUUGAAGCCCUGCUCAUGGGUUUCACCUCCCGAAAAGCCCGGAAUGGGCCAGAGACCCCUCUCCCUGGACCCCCUCACCUUCUGCCUGCAGUGACGCGCUCCCGCACCCCAUUUCAGUUGGCGAGGGGGGCACAAUUUAGGCCCGUUCUUGGCGAAUGAAUGAUGAGCCCCAGUCUAGCGUGAGCUCAAAGCAUCAUCCAGCUGUGUUAUUGCAAGCAGCAAAAAUAAAUUGAUCGAGCUUUUCCUUCGGAAUGAAUUUCAUACCCUUGACAAAAUGUAGAUUACAGACCUGGCAUCAUCGCCUCCUUCACUCAGACAGCAAGAGGAGGAGGAGGAGGGCUUGUUCUACUGUUUUGUUUUUUGUUUUUCCUUUAAUAAAUAAACACUAUACGUGAAUAGAAA